AGCUCCAAUAGCGUAUAUUAAAGUUGUUGCAGUUAAAAAGCUCGUAGUUGAAAUUAAUGAGAUUUUAAGGUGGUUUAAUGAAAGUUGAACUGUCUCAAGACUCAUAUAAAAGGGAAUUAAUGAAUUGCUUCAUUAAUAUCGCUAAAGUUACUGUGAAGAAAUUAGAGUGUUUAAAGCAGGCCAAUAGCUUGAAUACAUUAGCAUGGAAUAACAAGACAAGACAUUUGAUCCUUGUUGGUUUGAGGGUUAAAAGUAAAGAUUAAUAGGAACAGUUGGGGGCAUUAGUAUUUAAUAGUCAGAGGUGAAAUUCUUGGAUUUAUUAAAGACUAACAAAAGCGAAAGCAUUUGCCAAGGAUGUAUUCA
rnacentral:rRNA from 1 species